rnacentral:rRNA from 1 species
GACGAACGCUGACGGCGUGCUUAACACAUGCAAGUCGAAGCGGGGACGGGUGAGUAACACGUGGAUAACCUCCUAUAAGACUGGGAGAACUUCGGGAAACCGGAGCUAAACCGGAUACUUAUAGAUGGAUCCGCGCUGAAUUAGCUAGUGGGUAAGUUAACGGCUUACCAGGGAAACGAUGCAUAGCCGACCUGAGAGGGUGAGCGGCCACACUGGAACUGAGAAACGGUCCAGACGCCUACGGAGGGAAGCAGGAGGAAAUCUUCCGCAAUGGGCGAAAGCCUGACGGAGAAACGCCGCGUGAGUGAUGCAGGUCUUCGGAUCGUAAAUCUCUGUUAUUAGGGAAGCGGUACCUAGUCAGAAAGCCACGGCUAACUACGUGCCAGCAGCCGCGGUAAUAC